rnacentral:rRNA from 1 species
AUGCUUCUUAAGAAUAAAAUCUUUGCAUGGUAUCUUUGUCGCGGAGUCGUUCUUACUAAAGAUAACCUUAUUAAAAGGAAUAGGCAUGGAAGUACGCAAUGUGUCUUUUGUCACCAUGAUAAGACAAUAAAACAUUUAUUCUUCCAAUGCAAAUUGGCUCGUUCUAUAUGGUCAGUCAUCCAAAUAGCUUCUUCCUUGUAUCCUCCUUGUAGUGUUUCUAAUAUAUUUGGCAACUGGUUACAUGGGAUUGAUCACAGAGUGUAA